rnacentral:rRNA from 1 species
AUGUACGCGCAGAUUAUGUGCGGCCUGUGCCAGCGCCAGGACGUGCUCCGCAUCGGCGCUGUGUUCGCCGCCAGCCUCCUGCGCGCCAUCCGCUUCCUCCAGCUCAACUGGGAGCAGCUCGCCGCCGACAUCGAGGCCGGCGCGCUUAGUCCGGGUGUCACUGACACGUCGGUGCGCGAGGCCGUCGCGGGCGUCGUCAGCGGGCCGGACCCCGAGCUCGCCAGGCUCAUUCGACAAGAGUGUUGCAAGGGUGACUGGGCUGGCAUCGUCACGCGCAUCUGGCCGAACACGAGGUGCCUCGAUGUCAUCGUGACCGGCUCCAUGGCUCAGUACGUCCCGGCGCUGAAAUAUUACGGCGGCGGCCUGCCGAUGGUGUCCAUCUCGUACGCGUCCUCAGAGUGUUUCAUGGGCAUAAACCUCCGCCCUCUAUGCGACCCGUCCGAGGUGUCCAACACCCUCAUGGCCAAUGUGGCCUACUUCGAGUUUGUCACCGCGGACGAGAUCACCGGCGACGAGGGGCAGCCCCAGCUCGUGGACCUCGCACACGUGGAGCCCGGGCGGGAGUACGACGAGGUGGUGGUCACCACGUACACGGGGCUGAACCGGUACCGCGUCGGCGACAUGCUCCGCAUGUCGGGCUUGCACAAUGCCGCGUCGCAGUUCCAGUUCGUGCCCCGCCAAAACGUGCUGCUCUCCGUCGAGACCGACAAGACCGACGAGGCCGAGCUGCACCACGCCGUGGAGCGGGCCGCGGAGCUGCUCCGCCCGCAUGGGGUGUCGUGGCCGAGUACACCAGCCGCACAUGCACGGAGGGUAUCCCGAUGGCGCGGCGGAGGUUGA